rnacentral:rRNA from 1 species
CGCGGCCUAUCAGCUUGUUGGUGGGGUAACGGCCUACCAAGGCAGCGACGGGUAGCUGGUUUGAGAGAACGAUCAGCCACACUGGGAUUGAGACACGGCCCAGACUCCUACGGGAGGCAGCAGUGGGGAAUGUUGCGCAAUGGGCGAAAGCCUGACGCAGCAACGCCGCGUGCGGGAUGAAGGCCUUCGGGUUGUAAACCGCUUUCAGCAGGGAAGGAGCGAAAGUGACGGUACCUGCAGAAGAAGCACCGGCUAACUACGUGCCAGCAGCCGCGGUAAUACGUAGGGUGCAAGCGUUGUCCGGAUUUAUUGGGCGUAAAGAGCUCGUAGGCGGUUAGUCGCGUCGGAUGUGAAAUCCCAGUGCUUAACACUGGGCCUGCAUUCGAUACGGGCUGACUAGAGUGUUGUAGGGGAGACUGGAACUCCUGGUGUAGCGGUGAAAUGCGCAGAUAUCAGGAAGAACACCGGUGGCGAAGGCGGGUCUCUGGGCAACUACUGACGCUGAGGAGCGAAAGCGUGGGGAGCAAACAGGAUUAGAUACCCUGGUAGUCCACGCCGUAAACGGUGGGCGCCAGGUGUGGGGAACAUUCCACGUUCUCCGUGCCGCAGCUAAGGCAUUAAGCGCCCCGCCUGGGGAGUACGG